rnacentral:rRNA from 1 species
GAUGUACGGUGUGAUGGUGUGCGGUUGAAUGCGUUGGGGGCUUGCUUUAGGCUGAAGUACUGGGCGUAAAGCGUUCGGAGGCUUGUGUGCAAGAUCUAUGUGAAAUCCCCGAGCUGAUGUGUGGAAUGGCAUGUGUGACUGGACGGCUAGAGUGUUUCAGAGGGGGGUAGAAGUCCACGUGGAGCAGUGAAAUGCGUAGAGAUGGGGAGGAAUACCGAUGGCGAAGGCAGCCCCCUGGGAUAACACUGACGCUCAUGCACGAAAGCGUGGGGAGCAAACAGGAUUAGAACCCCAGUAGUC